rnacentral:rRNA from 1 species
GACGAACGCUGGCGGCGUGCUUAACACAUGCAAGUCGAACGGAAAGGCCCUGCUUUUGUGGGGUGCUCGAGUGGCGAACGGGUGAGUAACACGUGAGUAACCUGCCCUUGACUUUGGGAUAACUUCAGGAAACUGGGGCUAAUACCGGAUAGGAGCUCCUGCUGCAUGGUGGGGGUUGGAAAGUUUCGGCGGUUGGGGAUGGACUCGCGGCUUAUCAGCUUGUUGGUGGGGUAGUGGCUUACCAAGGCUUUGACGGGUAGCCGGCCUGAGAGGGUGACCGGCAACAUUGGGACUGAGAUACGGCCCAGACUCCUACGGGAGGCAGCAGUGGGGAAUAUUGCACAAUGGGCGGGAGCCUGAUGCAGCAACGCCGCGUGCGGGAUGACGGCCUUCGGGUUGUAAACCGCUUUCGCCUGUGACGAAGCGUGAGUGACGGUAAUGGGUAAAGAAGCACCGGCUAACUACGUG